UGGCCAUCUGUGUGAUCUGGAGAAUCACAGAGCGGCCGGUACUCAGGACGGCCGGUGGGCCGGCCCACCACCCGCCACGCACGCAGUCAUUACCUGUUUUUUUUUCCCCCACUAAUCUGUUUCACACUCCAGUACUGUAGGUGGCAGUAAUGCACCUUUAAGUUGGAUGCCAGCUGCACUGGCCGUGGCCGCCAAGUAAGGAGAAGAAGUGGUAUGAGGAGGAAGAAAAACCGAGAAAAACCAACAGCAAAGACGUUAGAUAGAAGGAGAACAUAGAAGCAUAGAAACAAACAAACAAUAUGCAUAACGCGGCCACGGGUAAAAAGCGGAAAGAAAAGGGUGGGGAUGAGAAGGCGAGAGAAAAAAAUUGCGGAAUUUAGAUAGUGAAGCAGCUAAAUGUCACAAAAUAACUGAACUAUUUAGUUGCAGAACAAAGCGACCUGUUGAAGAAAAUCCUUAUCCCCCAACAUUGAGUAAAAUUCCAUUGCUGGAUUGUUUUUUUAGAUACCUGUUUUGUAUUGGUUCAGCCAGAGGGACUGCAGUGUGUUGAGACCUCCAUUUAUAUAUACCUGUUUUGUAUUGGUUCAGCCAGAGGGACUGCAGUGUGAUGAGACCUUCAUUUACAUGUGAGUAUUCAAGUUAAUCUAGAAUAAUAUGCUUUUAACACAACAUCUAGUCAACAUCAGUGCUAUUGCUAUAAUUUGGAUGGGAUAGUAUCAUGAGCCACAAUUAAAGUCUUGUGACACUCAUGCCAGGCGUUAUUGUUGUUGUCGAGUUUCCGCACUCCGAUUGCUUUGGGCCGGGCCUAGUCAAAGUCCAGGGCUGUUUUUUAGUCCCAGUCCGUC